GCCAGCAUAGGCCAUCAGGUGAGCCGGGUGAUUCAAAAUCACUGCCCGAAAGGGGUACGCAUGGGGGUUCGACUCCCUCUGCUGGCA
rnacentral:tRNA from 1 species